GAUGAACGCUGGCGGCGUGCCUAAUACAUGCAAGUCGAGCGAACAGAUGAGGAGCUUGCUCCUCUGACGUUAGCGGCGGACGGGUGAGUAACACGUGGAUAACCUACCUAUAAGACUGGGAUAACUUCGGGAAACCGGAGCUAAUACCGGAUAAUAUAUUGAACCGCAUGGUUCAAUAGUGAAAGACGGUUUUGCUGUCACUUGUAGAUGGAUCCGCGCCGCAUUAGCUAGUUGGUAAGGUAGCGGCUUACCAAGGCAACGAUGCGUAGCCGACCUGAGAGGGUGACCGGCCACAUGGGGACUGAGAUACGGCCCAGGCUCCUACGGGAGGCAGCAGUGGGGAAUAUUGAACAAUGGGCGGAAGCCUGAUGAAGCAACGCCGCGUGCGGGAUGACGGCUUUCGGGUUGUAAACCGCUUUCGCCUGUGACGAAGCGUGAGUGACGGUAAUGGGUAAAGAAGCACCGGCUAACUACGUG
rnacentral:rRNA from 1 species